ACUUGAAUCAACUGGAGAGCUUGUUAAAAUGCAGAUUCUGAUUCAGCAUGUCUACAGUGGGGUCUGGGAUUCUGAAUUUCUAAUAUUCUUCAGGAUGAUGUU
rnacentral:pre_miRNA from 1 species